rnacentral:lncRNA from 1 species
GUCACAACGUAAGCUCUUUCCGUUCAUUUAAUGAAUCAACGGUUUCACAACUACAUUAUGAUCAAGAUGAAGUCUAGUUUCAGUCUACGUACGCCUAUCGUAUUUCAGGGUUGGGGUGCGGCAGGCCUUGUCAGUGUCCCCAACACGAAUUAACUUGUUGAGCCAGAGGACGCUCGGAGGUACUUAUUAAAAAUUUAAAAUUAAAACGUCGAUGUUCUAGGGGUAU